rnacentral:rRNA from 1 species
UACGGAAGGGGGCUAGCGUUGCUCGGAAUCACUGGGCGUAAAGGGUGCGUAGGCGGGUCUUUAAGGUCAGGGGUGAAAUCCUGGAGCUCAACUCCAGAACUGCCUUUGAUACUGAAGAUCUUGAGUUCGGGAGAGGUGAGUGGAACUGCGAGUGUAGAGGUGAAAUUCGUAGAUAUUCGCAAGAACACCAGUGGCGAAGGCGGCCAACUGGACCAUUACUGACGCUGAGGCGCGAAAGCGUGGGGAGCGAACAGG